AGAGGUCUAUAAAUAAUGACACUUGGAAAUCAACCAGAUUCUCAAACAAAAGUUUCAUAAAGCUUGAAGUAUUAUCUCAAAUAUGGCACCGCACCGCUUAAGUUUGCUUUGGUCUUCACUACUCUUCUCAUGGCAGUCACUAUGGAUGUGAUGUGUUAUGGCUGAAAGGAAUGUUGAUCACACUCUAUCAGGACUCAAAAGGAAAUUACUUCCUCAACUUAAUGAUAUAAUUACUUGUGGGACCGCAUGUGGUCCUCAUAGUCCUACUGAUUAUGAUUGCAGUGAUUGUUGGUAUUGUUGUGACUGCAGACAAGAAGUUUGGAACUUAAAUAUUUUCCGUUGUCUGUUUCCUGAGUAAAAAUUAGUAAACUAGUUCCCAAUUGCAAACAAGUCUCCUAAACAUCUUUAUUAUGCAUUUCUGAUUCCCUUUAAUUUCAUUAUUUGCUCUGUAUUUUCUUGUCUAUCAUACUUUGUACGAAUAACAAAGAAAUUCAAAUGAAUAACCUUCUUUUAUUUCUUUAUGAAGAAUAAUAUCAAAUACAAAUGCAGGGAGCGCUUUUGAUUUUUAGUUCUUGUAUAAUUCAUCAUACAUUGAGCAAAUCUAAUUACAAAUGUACAGCA